rnacentral:sRNA from 1 species
GAUGCUAGGGUCAAAAACUCAAAAGCCGGUCGUGCUUGCACGGCAAGGGUUUUGAGCUUGGGACCCGCCAAACAUGAGAAAUUGCGAUUUACGUAGUAAAUCAGCGAAUUUCGAAUGUUUGUAGAAUUGCGUGAGUUGCUCUGCAACGGAGCAAUUCGUAAGCA